AGAGUUUGAUCCUGGCUCAGAUUGAACGCUGCGGCAUGCCUUACACAUGCAAGUCGAACGGCAGCACGGGAGCAAUCCUGGUGGCGAGUGGCGAACGGGUGAGUAAUACAUCGGAACGUGCCCAGUAGUGGGGGAUAACCCGGCGAAAGCCGGACUAAUACCGCAUACGACCUACGGGUGAAAGCAGGGGAUCGCAAGACCUUGCGCUAUUGGAGCGGCCGAUGUCAGAUUAGCUUGUUGGCGGGGUAAAAGCCCACCAAGGCGACGAUCUGUAGCUGGUCUGAGAGGACGACCAGCCACACUGGGACUGAGACACGGCCCAGACUCCUACGGGAGGCAGCAGUGGGGAAUUUUGGACAAUGGGCGCAAGCCUGAUCCAACCAUGCCGCGUGCGGGAAGAAGGCCUUCGGGUUGUAAACCGCUUUUGUCAGGGAAGAAACGCUCCGGGCUAAUACCUCGGAGUAAUGACGGUACCUGAAGAAUAAGCACCGGCUAACUACGUG
rnacentral:rRNA from 1 species